rnacentral:lncRNA from 1 species
UUUUUCAAAGAACCUGUUUGAAGACAAGCCACUGGUCGGCGGUGAUGUUGGGCUAUCCCAACCUCAACCUUCAGCUGUCCUGUCUGUACGCUGGGUCUAAUGACAUCCCUCCUCUAUAAGGCACCGUCAAAGAGCUUAAGUGAAAGCCAUGAAGCAUUAAGACUGCAUGAGGGUUAUUUUGAGAUCAUCUGAUUUCCUACUAGGAGGUGCUAUGAGAGAUCAUCGCCUUGAAAACCUUCAAAGAGAAUGGUCUGAAAGGGGUUUUUUUGGUGGUGGCAUGUUCCAGAACUUGGAUCAGUUUUACAUUUUCAUUUAGCAUGAGAGAGUUUUUAAACUUGUGUGUCUGUAUAAAAAUAAACUUCCAUCACAGGACUUCA